UCGGUGCAUGCGCCCCCCUCCCCCUUCCACAGCAAAGUUCGACGGGAGGGAACGAAAUCGCGACUCGCCAUCCGCACAGUGUGCUUUCGGUGAGGUGGGCCACAUACACAGUGGCGUCAGUGCACACGUGUAAGACGCGUGCGAGCGUGCUGCCAAAGCCUCCACCCCCCCCAACCGCUUCCUACCCACGCGACACUCCACAGUGUGGGGUGUGGGCACAGCGACAGAACAGCAGAGAAAAAAAGGAAGCGUGCGAAUUUGCACGCCGGCAGCAACCAUCACACCCACACAAACCCGGGCGGAUAUACAGGCACCUACGCCUACGCUGUUGCUGCCACUCGCUCGCACUCGCGUAUCCCUUUUUUCCUUUUGAGCACGUGCGAGCUCUUCCCGAGUUUGCCUUCCUCCUCUUCUCCCGCAGUUGUCGACACCUGGACGAGCGGGGCGCCCACUUGCGCGAUCAGCCCCCUCCCACCCCCCUUUUGCUUCGCCGCCUUUUGGGCACUGCCUCUGGAGCGUCGCGUCUUUCCCGUGUGGGUCUCGCUCUCUCGCGCGCUCCCCUUCGUGUUAACUUUUCUUUGCUUUCGGCUGUGCUGGGUGCUGGUGCGCCAGUGCGCUAGGGUGUGUGCGUGUGUGCUUGGUUUCUCUUUCUUGCUUCGUCCAGCUCACGCCCCACACCGCGCGCGCACGUCGCUCAGUUCCUUGCCUUUGACGGUUCACACCGUUCCCCUCCUCUCCUCUACUCUCUCGCCACCCCCCCUGCGCAUUCACACCGAUCAUCAGCCAGCGCGGUGACCACCGUUCCCAGCGAUUCGCCCUCCCCCUCUCUUUGAUUACCUGCACCUCCGCGCCGACGCAGCGCCUCUCUCCAAACACCGUCUCUGUCUGUGCGCGUGCCUGUCUGUCGUUUUUUUCGUGCACGCUCCCCCCAGUAUUACUGUGAACAACAAAGGGCCGACUACGGCGUCUCGUUGCAGCGAAGGGGAAGGGAGGCACCACAACUUCGCCGUUCAUGGAGGUUGGAAGGCGGCACUAAACUAGCAGAAGAACAUAAAAAGAACACCAUAAAAGUGAUCCUUGCAAGCAACUCCACCCUCUCCUCUCUCUUGCCCUUGCCCCCCCCCCCCCCCCCUCCCAUUUUUUUCGUGGGUGUGCUUCCCGCGAUCAUUUGACGUUGAUGCGCCUCUCUGUAUAUAUAACGCACACAGGCACGCACACACCCACAAAGACACACACACACACGCUCCUCUUUUCUUUUCGGGGAUUUGCUGGCGGCUGUGUCGGUCUCUGUGUGCCUUGCUGCUGUCACCGAAGAGGACGCCGGUGCACAUAAGUGCCCACAUUCGCAUGGAACGCGAAUACCAUUGAGCAGAGUACUCCGCCGCCGCUGCUGCAGCAACGGAAGCAGAGGCACGAAAGACGCACGCGCGCAGAUAUAGAGCGUGAAGAAAGGGGAAAAGGGGGAAGUGUACAGGAAGCAACCAAACGAACGCAGGCGGUAGCGCUCUUUUCACAGCAUCGACCUCCUCCCCCUUCCUCCCGCUCCCUCUCCUGACAUUCCGAAUUCUCCGUCUUCUCUUGGUCUGUCUGCUCUUCUUCCGCUCGGCCUCCUCGUUGAGCUCUAUCCGUUUGCAACCUUCUCUUCUCUACCCCCUUGUUUUUGCUGCUGCUCCUCCCUCAUAGCACGCAUCGCAGCAGCCCACCCGUUUUCCAUCCAUCUGGCACAACAGCGCACGGUGAAACGAAGGGCCGGGCGGGCGGGAGGGCGAGAGGGGCUUUAGCCUUCGUCGAUUGCGGCUCGCUGACUUCCUUUUUGAUUGCUGAUAAGAUAGAAAGCGUCUCUCUCUCUCUCUGUGCGUGUGUGCGUGCCUGCGAGGGCACUUGCGCGCCAGGUCUUUUCUUCCCACUCCCCCACCCCCUUCCCUGCUCUGCUUCCUCUCCCUUUGUAGAGCCGCACUUUCACGCGCGCCCUCUGUUUCUGUUCCUUGGGUUCUCCUCUUGUGUUCCCCCCCUCCUUUGAUCUCCUCCCCCACCGCCAUCGCGCGACGCCUCCUCGUUGUGCGUGCUGCCUUUGUUUUGCUCAAUUUUCUCCCCGUCCUCUCGCUUUGUGAGCUCGCUCGCUACACCCCCCCUCCUCCUUCCCGGCUGUCUCCUCUGCUCGUUGUACACCUGCCUGCCUCUCGCCCCCCCUCGCUUACUGUUUAUGUGUUUUGUUAUUGCGUGUUUUGCUUGUUGUCUUUUGCUCGCUGGGGAAACGCGGGGGCUGCGUGGGAUUUACCCAGGUGUGGCCGCGUGUCGCCGUUGUCUCCCUCAUCUCGGUUCCACCUCCGCUCCUGCCCUCCAGCUCCGCAGAAUACCGUUUUUGUUAAUCCGCCUGUUUCGCUAACGUCGCUUGCCUUCUCUGUGUGCCGUGCGGGUGUAUCUGCGUAUUUCAUCGCUGCCCCGUGUUGUUGAGUGUCUCUUCGCAGUAGGGCCGCUCUUGUCAGCCUUGUGACGGGCAGCUUUCUCACCGCGUCGUCGCGGUCUACGACAUCGCCGCAUAAAGGGGCAGCGCAAGGAAAUCAGCCCACUCCAUACUCAUGGGGUGUGCAGACUCGAAGGAGAAGGUGCGUGGGCCCCGUGAAGGCAAAGUGGCCGAGUCGGUGACGCCGCAGCACGCGCCAGCAACACCGCAGGAGGCGGAAAAAGCAUCUUCCAUCGACUUUGCUCCGUGUUUAUCGCGAAUCUGCGUUGAGGAAGACAAUGACAGUGUUGGUAGGGCAGCGUCGCCGCCACCUGACGAUUCGCAUCCUUUCGUUGACGAUGUGCUAGGGCUGCCGCCCAUGAACGCCGUGUCAUUGCCUCUGCGCCGAGACAGCGACACCGCCACUACAGGCGACGGCGCUUCUCUAACGCCACCUGCGGCUUCUCCCCUCGGCCUGUCCGCGCCAGCGGCAUCCACGUCGCCCCAGCCGACGCAGCUUACGUCCUCAAGAAGGGACGUGGAGGGGGGCGUGCUCGCGAGGAAGACAUCGGCCACAGACGAGCUGCUUCAGUGCGAUAAGGUGGUCAGCUUGCACCCGCCGCCCCUGGAUGAUGCGCUCCCCUCCGGUGCUGCGCACAGCACUGCCGCCCUCGCGUACAUCGACUCCUCCUCACUUCCUCCGCAGCACUCGCUCAGUUCGGUGGCGUACAAAACCCAUUUAGCUGAGCAGCCCUCGUCCGCCUCGCCACAGAGCGUCAGCGACACCCACGCGGCAGCAUCAAGGGAGCUGCGCAGGGGCGCCAACAUCAACGAAGGCGGCUCUGUCCUGACGUGGACACUCGGUGACACCGACACGACGCGGACAUCCUUCCUGCAGACAGCCGGCUCUACACAGCCGCCGUCGCUGCAGGCGAGUCGCUCGUCGUCAUGCCAGCCUGUGGUUCUACCAGUAGCUCAACAAGCAUCGCCAUCGCCGUCGCAGUCGCCAGCGACGGUGGUGGAAACCACAGCAGCGGCGACUGAGACAGCGCCCGCUUCACAGCCACGAUCCGUACUCACCGCCGAGGCGCAGCGCGACCUGCAACUCGCAAGCGCAAGUCGCCUCUCCGGCAGUGGUGGCCCUGUGGCACGUCGGUGCCAUUCCGCACUCGCUUCAUUGGCGCGCCGCUCGCCGUGUGCCGAGGUGAAAGCGACUCUGCGAAACGCGGUCGACGCGUCGGAGCCAAUGGAUGCGACGGCCGGAACGCCUGCGCGGCCGAGCUACGAAUCUGCCCGCGACGCUGGCGCGUCUCCCUUCGGCGAAGCGAGCGAUGGAUGCAGGGAGAGCGGGAGCGGAGUCAUCCCGACAGCGCGGUUGACACAGCCCCCCCAGGCGGUGGCCGCCGCUCGACAGCACUCUCGUUCCGAGUCUUUGCUGCCGUCUACAUCGGGGCGGCAGCAGCAGCUCACCGUGGCGCUGAUGCCAACCUUCAGGCCGCCUCAUGACUCCACGUCUCCAUCUCCGCGCACCCCCGCGCCGCAGCAGACAUCGCCGCGUACGUCGGCACCGGCCACAACAGCACCUGUCAACGUCACUGCUUCUGCCAUAAGCGACGCACCGGACGACGUGCCACUGCCGCAGCAUCUGGACCUUUUCACCGCACUGCCGGCCAGCAACACCGCGAGCGCCGGCACCGCAGGCGGCUACAGCAACUUUGGUGAUGGCGAUGCCGGAGGGGUGCUCCAUCCGCGCUUGCCCAUGCCCAACUCUGCAAACAUACGCGGCAUGGGUACCCACACAAACAGCGAGAGCCUUUGUGCCGCGUCUUCAUCGGCGACGACCACAGGAACCGAAACUCCCACCAAGACACGCACUUCGCGUUUGGAGCUCGGAAGCUGGAACACGCACCACUUCGCCAGCAGCAACAGUAGUUGGCUAUUGAGUAGCAUGAAAAGCACCGAUGGCGGCAGCGGCGGCCUCGCGGUUGGCAGUCGCUGGAACGACGGGAGCUGCACCAGCACUCCACACCCGACGAACUCGGAACUCUUUCGGCAGCUACGUCAGCCCAACACGCGCGUCAAGUCGAUCUUGCGCAAGUCCGGGAGCAGCGCAGCGGUCGCGUACGGCGCGACGGUCAUGAAUGACGGCGAUCAGGCGAAUACAAAUCGCUCCUGCGUGCUGUCGCCCUCCGUCCAUGGUGGCGGGGUCGGUGGCAGAGCCGAGACGACAGCGUGCACCACCCCUCGCAUACCAGCCAGCAGCGGCGCGGCAGGUGGUGGUGACGGGCGGACUUCGGCGAUGCCAUCGCCAAUAGACGAGCCGGCGCUGCAGAUGGACUUCAUUGUGCUUCGCCACACCACCAGCGAUGCGGAUUGCGUGAACGGAAGCGCCACACCCGCCGACGCGUCCCCGUCACCCGCCGGUUUGCGCUCGCGCACGCACCGCGGCUUCCCGACGGGCACCUGGCCGCAGCCCAACCCAGACAAUAUUAACAGCGUAGCUAACAGUAACGUGUCCUGCGUUUUGUGCACAGGUUUCGAGAACGGCAAGGGUGCCUUCGCAGAUGGUGUCCACGGCAGCGACGACGCAGGCACCGACAACACACCCCUCAGCUUAGCGGUGCAACGCUCGUUGGCGUCUCCUUGUCGACUGUCCCGAUCGCCAUCCACACCAGGGUACCCCUCGCCGCACCGUACCCAGCAGUGCCGCUCGAGCGGCAUGAGACGCGGUGGCGACGCUAACGUUGGCAAUAUCAGCAAUGGAAAGACGCAGGUGCUGCCGCCGCCAUCGACAGCGACGGAGCUGCCCAUCUUGUUUGCACGCGAGACCGUCGCCGCGGCAGGGUGCACGUCUGAUGAGCCGCCGCCUGACAUCAUGCUCGCCUCCCCUCCACCAAAGCGGGUGCGCGUGGUAGUAUGAUUCACUUGCUCAGUUAUGCGCAGCGGUGCAGGUUCAAGGGAGAGGCGGCGAGAUAGCGAAAAGACAGACGGAGUAGUCGCUUCCGCUGUCGGUUUUGGAGGGGCUACUAGGCGAGAGGACGCAAGCUGCUUCCUAUGCAAGCUCUGUGUAGCGUAUCUCUGUGUGCGUGCAUGCAAGCACCGCCGCCAUCGCUGCUGCUACCUUAGCCUUGAUGGCGCCGAUGACUGACGCCGCCCUUUUUAUUUUUAUUGGUCUGCAUCGUCGCGUGCGCCUGUGCGAGAGGAGCGGCGCUUCGCCUCUGACUUUCUUCGUUCGCGUCUUACCCUCCUCGUGUGUGGCGGUGGGCGCAAGAGAGGGACAUGGAGGGAUAGAGACGCCUUGACACGGCGUUGUUCGGUUGUACACCCGUACCCGUGUACAUAGAUAUGCAUGUGUGUGUGUACGUGUAUAAGCAUGCGUUUGACACACGCACUCUCGCGUCUUCGCUGAUAUGAAGCGGCGAAGACGCCAUCGCACUCAGAGAUGGGGAGGGAGCGCCACGCAGACAACGAGGGAUUUUGUUUUGUGUGUGUAGGGGGAGGGGGCGUGUGUCUUCUCUUCCCUUGUUAUCUGUGCCCACCGCCUCUCCCUUUCUCGCUCAUUCUCUCUGGACGAGCGUUCGUGCUGUCGUGCAUGAGGCACUUGCGUAUACGCCUGCCCACUGCGUGUAUGCCGCACACCUUUUCCGCCGUCCAACUCCCUCCUCCCCUCCCUUUCUCGUUUGGUCUCCUCUCCUUUUCUGCGCUUCGUUCUCUCCCCCUCCCUCAUUCUUGGUCUCGUGGUUCUUUUGAAGACAGCAACGACGGCGAUACAACGCACUUCUCACGCAUGCACAUGCGUAUGUGCGUGAAAGGAGCGAGCGCUCUUCUCUCCCUCUAUGUAUCUCUUCCUUGUUCUCCUUCCUGCG
rnacentral:misc_RNA from 1 species